rnacentral:rRNA from 1 species
AUUGAACACUGGCGGCAGGCUUAACACAUGCAAGUCGAGCGGAGAUGAGGUGCUUGCACCUUAUCUUAGCGGCGGACGGGUGAGUAAUGCUUAGGAAUCUGCCUAUUAGUGGGGGACAACAUUCCGAAAGGAAUGCUAAUACCGCAUACGCCCUACGGGGGAAAGCAGGGGAUCUUCGGACCUUGCGCUAAUAGAUGAGCCUAAGUCGGAUUAGCUAGUUGGUGGGGUAAAGGCCUACCAAGGCGACGAUCUGUAGCGGGUCUGAGAGGAUGAUCCGACACACUGGGACUGAGACACGGCCCAGACGCCUACGGGAGGCAGCAGUGGGGAAUAUUGGACAAUGGGCGGAAGCCUGAUCCAGCCAUGCCGCGUGUGUGAAGAAGGCCUUUUGGUUGUAAAGCACUUUAAGCGAGGAGGAGGCUACCUGGAUUAAUACUCUUGGAUAGUGGACGUUACUCGCAGAAUAAGCACCGGCUAACUCUGUGCCAGCAGCCGCGGUAACAC